UACGAGGGGGGCGAGCGUUGUUCGGAAUUAUUGGGCGUAAAGGGUGCGUAGGCGGUUUGGUAAGUCUUGUGUGAAAUCUUCGGGCUUAACUCGAAGUCUGCACUGGAAACUGCCGGGCUUGAGUGUGGGAGAGGUGAGUGGAAUUCCCGGUGUAGCGGUGAAAUGCGUAGAUAUCAGGAGGAACACCGAUGGCGAAGGCAGUGGGCUGGGCCGGCACUGACGCUGAGGAGCGAAAGCGUGGGGAGCGAACAGG
rnacentral:rRNA from 1 species